GUGCUGACAUUUUCUUCAAUCUGCUGAAAGUUGAGGUUGAGUCUCGCUCUAUUUAUUUUGCAGGUUGUAAAGCUGCUUGCUCAUAUUAGCAAUAAGGAUCUAUUUGCUGAAUUCUAUAGGUAAUGUUCUAAUUUAUUGGUUAGUUGAUAGGCUUUAAUUUGGUAAGAAUGUAGUGAAUUUUAAACACUCCUGGUCACGGAACUUAUAGCAGAAUUCUGUGUUGGUUACUAAACUUCAUUUUGUUACUAGUUAGUCAAUAAAUUCAACUUUGUUUUGACUUAGUCGCUAAAUUUAUAUAUUUAUUACUAUUUGGUCAUUUCGUAUCCGUCUACUAGUUUGACUUACAGAAAAACUGACACACAAUCUAUUUAGCAAAUAAUUAACACCGCCACAUCAAAAUGGAUGUGGUGACCAAAUUGUAACAAAGUUUAGAUCCAACAGCCAACUUUCAACAAAAUGAACUCUAGUUAUCUCCAGAGUAUUUAACCCUAUAUUAAGAUGUCAAUGGAUUGAUUAUAUUGACAAGAAAAGACUUGCUCGGCGGCUAUUAUUUUACAAGAGCGCCAAUGAUAAGCAUGAAGAAGUAUGCUAAAAAAGUUGCAGCAACAACGUGGUGGUCUAUUUACAUAAAAAAAAUGGAGAGAAUGGUUAGCUCAUAUUAUCUAUAUGCUGAAUCAUAGCUCUCAUAAUGAUCUUAAUAUCACCUAUGUUUCACCUUUUUCAACUAUUCCAAGUUUUAACACUAAAAAGAGAAAAUCAAACCAGGUAUGAAGAGUAUCUUAGCAAUAAUCCAAAUGCAAGUCCCUGGAUAGAUUUGAUUGUUACUGUCCUGACUACUAAUUUCUGGCCAAGUUACAACUCCUUUGAUCUUAAGGCUUGUUUGAGCCCCAUUAUUUAGAAAAAAUGUAUUAUUCUACAGUAUUUUGACAUCAUUUCAACCACACAUUUUUUAAUAAAAUAAUAUUUUACGUAAAUCCAAAACUUUUUCUUAUUUUUUAACCAUAUAUUUUCCAUCAAUACACUAUUCAAAAAUUCAUUUUUCCUCCCAAAUGGGGCUCAAACAAGGGCUUAAUCUGUCUGCUGAGAUGGUACUAAUGUAAGCAAUGUCUCUUUUUAAUGGAAUAGAUCGAUUGACAGUCAUAUUUCUUUAUUACAAUGAACUUUUGUGUUAGGUCAAGUGCGUCGAAGUAUUUAGAAACUUCUACUAGAUGAAAAUGAAACACAAAAAACUAACAUGGAUAUUGUAGAAAUUGGGUUGCUGCCUUUGCAAAGCCCAAAGUUAAUAUAUCCAACCCAUGACCCGGUUAAAUGGCCCAACUAGAAGAAUAAUCUGGAAGCUCAUUUGGUUAAAGGAAAACACGUUUUUUCAAUUGUGAAAAAACGAAUCUCACCUGAUCUUGACACUUGGCAAUUGCUGGACCAUUGGAUCAAAUGAUUUGUUUCUUUCAUAUAAAAGAAACCAAUAAUGCCUAGGGUUUGUGUUGCUCUCAUUUUACGCAGCCUUCAUUUUUGAGUUAAAAUUUCUCUUUGUAUUUUUUGCUCUCUCAUCUUGAAUCUUGUUGAUUCUUUCUUGUUGGUUGAGAGUAUGCGUGAUGUUAUGAACUCUUGUGUGAGUUCUUCGUGUUGCUGAGGGGAUUUGUUAUCGUUGUGGUUAGAACUGUGUGUUCCGUUUGUAGCUCAAAACUGCUAUAAUUUGAUCCGCGUUUUUUAGUGGAUUCGAGCUUAUUCUUUCAUGGAUGCUCAAUGGGGACUAGGCGAUCUGAUAAAUCGCCGAACCUCGGGGUUUCGACCAAAAAUUGCUUGUGUUCUCUUUACUGUUUUUCAGAUCUACAAAUCUUGAUUUUUAGUCUUGCUAUUUUUGAUGGUUUUGAAACGUUCCUAGGGUUCCUUCAGUGGUAUCAGAGCAAGGAAUAUUUUUCUUUAGCUAUUUUUAGUUCCCGUUUAGGUUAAGGGUCUGAAAUUUCUUCACCGGCCGAAAGGAAAACAGCAGAUCUUUCAAGAUCUGCAAACAUUAAAUUUAAAAAAAAAAACUGUUUUUCUUUCUUUUCUGUUGUGUAAUACUGAAAUAAUUUUUUUUGGGCACUGUAAGGUGUGCUUCCUUCACCCUUAGAAAAUCAGUGUGGAUGUCGCCUUUUCUUCAAGAAGCUGAAGUUUUCUUCUUGGUUGUUGGAGUCCUCUUAAUUCGGUUGGUGUUGUCCUUAAAACUGGAAAGAAAUUCAUUGAUGCUGCAGGACUUGAUUACGUGCAGUGUUGGUGUUGAACUUUGUAUACAAUUGUGUAUUUGUAAAUGUUGCAGUAUAGUGAUAAUUUUUUGAGUAUACAGUAAGCAGUAAACUAACCUGUUUCUUGGUGAAAUUACAGACUUUUCUUGUUUGUUUUGCGGUACCUGUAGUCUACAGACAUUGAAUUUGUGAUUAAUCAGUUUCUGUAUUGUAUUGUUGGUACAUUUAGUUCUUGGAAGUAUUAUUUUGGUAAUAAAAUCAUUUUUCAAACUAGGGUUUCACAGAACCUCCUCUAACUCUACCUCUGUCUAGGGUUUCCUGAGAGAACCCUAGAAACUUUGGGGAUUAGGGAUUCGGUUCAAGAAACCUGUAAUCUUCAAAACUGUUUUUUUUUAAUUCUCACUGUCUGUGAAUAAUAAAACCAAAAAUUAUAUUUCCACAGUUAAAUUCUUGUACAUUCUAUGUGAACUGUACUAAUACUCAAAUUGAUCUUCUCAGGUGUUGAAUUGCCUAAGAAUAAUUGCUUCAAAGGUACAUACAUAGCAUUUACAAUUUUUUGUAACUUACUGUGUAUAAGUUUAUGUAAUUAAAUUCAUUGCAUGCUUAGUGAUCUGAAUAUUGAAUGUGUCUUAAUUUGGUUGUAAUAAUUCUGUACACAUCACACUAAAGCACAAUCCAUAUAUAAUCUAAAAUUGGUAUAAUAAGACAGUGAUCGUUGUGAUAUACUGUUUGACUGAAUUACUACUUGUGAACAAUUUCACACUAUAACAUACCAUGAACUCUAAGGUAAAUGUCCAAAUUUGGGAUGACAAAGGAGACUUUAGUCUCUGGCGUCAGAAAAUAAAAGCACUCUUGUUACAGUUAAAAUAUGCUAAGGCUAUUGAUGAAUCUUGGCCUGAAACCUUAUCUGAGGCUAGGAAAAUUGAGCAAGAUAAACUAGCCUGGAGCACUUUGUUCCUACACUUGUCUGACACUGUGAUUAGAAAAGUAGGAGAAACUAAAACUGCUGUAGAAUUAUGGACUGCCCUAGAAAAACACUACCUCACUAAGACUAUACCAAAUAAAUGUUUUCCUUGGAGAUAGUUCUUUAGUUUCAAGUUUCAUCCUAAUCUUGAUAUGGGAGAUAAUAUGGAUAGGUUUAAUAGGAUCACACAAGACUUAGCAAACUGUGAUGAGAAAAUUUCUGAUGAACAGAAGGUAGUUGGCCUACUUAAUGCUCUAGGAGAUAAAUAUAAAGAUAUAAGAAAUGCUCUAAAAUAUGGUAAAAGUGAUCUCACUGUUGAAAUAAUUCACAGUUUUCUUCUGAAUAAAGAACUUGAAUUAAAAUCUGAACACAAAGAAGUGUACCAUGUUGAGGGUGUGUCAUCAAAUCAAAAACUAUAUGCUAAAGGAGUAAGUAAUUUCAGUGAUUCCAAUUUUAACAAGAAAAAAAACUUUAACAAAAGGCAAUGGAAUAACACCAAAGGAAAAGGCAAGAAACCAAUUAAAGGAAAAGCGAACAGCAAUAGUAACAGAAAAUGUUUUUACUGUGAAAAAACAGGUCACUUUAUUAAAGACUGUUUUAAAAAGGCAAAUGACCAAAAGAAUGGAUCUAACACUGAAAAUGUUUCUUUAGCAACAGCUGCUAAUUAUAAAGAAGCAGGAGCAAAUAUUGGAGUAGCCUAUGUGUCUCUAUCUGAAAAUAUUGAUCAGGACUGGUCCUGGAUUCAGGUUGUUCUUUUCAUAUGACACCCAAUAUAGGCUGCAUUUAAGACUUUUGUAGUCUGGAUGGAGGAUUUGUAAAACUUGGGAAUGAUGAGUCAUGCCAAGUGAAGGGAAUCGGAAAUGUGCUAUUGAAAUUUAAAAAUGGUCAUCACAUGUUAUUCAAACAUACAAGAUAUGUACCAGCACUUAGAAGAAAUCUCAUAUCCCUAGGAGUUCUUGAUGAUGAAAAUUAUCAAAUUAGUAUUAAAAAUGGCUUUACAAAUAUAACAAGAAAUCAAGAACUCAUUGUCAGUUCACCUAAGUUUAAUGGAAUCUAUGGAAUAGGUGCUGAAAUUAUUUCACCAAAAAAUUUUGUGAAUUCUGUCACACGUCCCGAUAAAUCAGAACUGUGGCAUAAAAGACUUGGCCACUUAAGUGAAAAAGGUUUAAAAACACUAUCAUAUCAAGGGGCAUUUGGGAAGGAUAGUGUUCAAAAAUUGACUUUUUGUGAACACUGUAUCAUGGAAAAAUAAGUCAGAAUGCCUUUUAAGGUAGGGCUGCACAAAUUCCAAGAUGUCCUUGAAUACAUACAUUCUGAUUUAUGGGGACCUGCACCCGUUCGUAUCUGGGUACAGAUAUUAUCUUCUUACAAUUGAUGAUUAUUCAAGAAAAACAUGGGUUUUCUUACUAAAAUCUAAAUCUGAUACUUUUACAAUUUUCAAAAAAUGGAAUGUACUAAUUGAAAAUCAGUCUGGUAAAAGGAUAAAAAUUUUAAGAACUGAUAAUGGGCUUGAAUUUUGCAAUACCAAAUUUGACCAAUAUUGCAGUAAACAAGGGAUAAUGAGAUAUAAAACUGUGAGUUUUACUCCACAACAAAAUGAAGUUGUCGAGAGGUUAAAUAGAACAAUUCUUGAAAGGACCAGAUAUAUGCUAAUCAGUUCUGGCCUUCCAAAAAUUUUUUGGGGUGAAGCUGUAAAAAUAGCAUGUCAUCUUAUCAUUAGAUGUCCUUCCAACUCUCUAAAUAACAGAAUUCCCGUAACAAAUCUGGUCUGGUUCAAUGCUAAAUUAUUCUCACCUAAGAACCUUUGGAUGUGUAGCCUAUACACAUCAUACUGAGUCAAAAUUGGACCCUAGAUCAUUGAAGGGUGUGUUCUUAGGAUAUGAAAAAGGUGUUAAAGGUUAUAGAUUGUGGUUAAGAAAUGUGAGGGGUUAUAAGCUGAUAACAAGCAGAUUUGUUAUCUUUAAUGAAGAUGAUUUCCCUUGUCUUAGUGACAAAUUUGAUGAAAAAUUAGGAAAAGAUGACUUUAUUAUCACAGAAAUUAAUUUUGAUAGUCAAAAUACUGAUGACCAGGCUCAGUUUAAGGUGGAGCCACAUCAGGUAUAACCACAGAAUGUCUCUUAUGUUGAAAUAUUGGAAGAUGAACAGAAUCUGGAGCUUGCACAUGACCUGCAAGGCUACCAGCUUACUAGAGACAGAGAAAGGAGGCAAAUAAGACCUCCUUCAAGAUAUCAGUAUGUUGAUUUUGCAUCUGAUCAAACUGAAUCUGAUCUGAUCAGUUUGACAUAGAACCAGCCUUUUAUGAAGAGGCUAUUUCUUCCAAAGAAUCCCCUAAGUGGAUUGCUGCGAUGGAAGAUGAAAUGAAUUCACUCUUUAAAAAUGAGACCUAGACUCUAGUUGAAAAAUCCAAAGAUUGUAAAUUGAUUGAUUAUAAAUGGGUUUAUAAAAUUAAAGAGGGUGAGACUAAAGCUAGUGAUAAAAGAUUUAAGGCAAAACUUGUAGCUAAAGGCUUUAACCAAAGGGAAGGAAUAGAUUACACUGAAAUCUUUUCACCGGUUGUUAAAUAUACAUCCAUUAGGGUCCUACUUGCUAUAGUGAUACAAUUUGACUUGGAGUUAGAACAACUCGAUGUGAAAACUGCCUUCUUGUAUGGUUCUUUAGAUGAAACCAUACAUAUGACUCAACCAAGAGGCUUUGAAGUGGAGGAAAGGGAAACUUAGUGUGUCUCUUAAAGAAAUUCUUAUAUGGCCUAAAGCAGGCCCCUAGGCAGUGGUAUAAAAUAUUUGACUCUUUUAUACAAGGUUUAAACUUCAAGAAAUCUGAAUAUGAUCCAUGUUUCUAUUAUAAGAAAGAAGGUGAAUAUGAUUUUUUCUAUCUGCUUUUGUAUGUUGAUGACAUGCUCCUUGCUGGUUAUAAUUCUAUUGCGCUUAACUUAAUUAAAGAAAAUCUGAAAUCUGAAUUUGAAAUGAAAGAUUUAGGACCAUCUAGAAAAAUUUUGGGCAUGGAAAUAAAAAGCGAUAGAAUAAAUGGAAAGUUGUUUCUAACACAAAAAUCUUAUGUUGAUAAGGUUGUUAAAAUAUUUUUCCUUCAUGAAUCUAAGCCUGUUAGCUUACCUUUAUCUGCUGGAAUGAAAUUAUCUGUUGAUCAAUCACCUAAAACUAAAGAGGAACAUAAAAGAAUGAUGAAUGUUCCGUAUUCUAAUGCUAUUGGAUCUGUAAUGUAUGUUAUGGUUUGCUCUAUACCUGAUAUCGCUUAUGCUGUGAGUGUGUUAAGCAGAUUCAUGAGUAACUCAGGUGAAAUACAUUGGCAAUGCAUGAAAAAUUUGAUUAAAUACUUGAAAGGAACUAGUAACUUAGGUUUAACGUUCAAAACUAAUAAAAAUUGACUUAGACUUAAGGGUUAUGUAGAUUCAAACUUCGCCGGUAACCCAGACAAUAGGAAGUCUACAAUUGCAUAUUUUUAUGUUAUAAAUGAUACAUGUAUUAGCUGGAAAUCUCAGGUUCAAAAAUUGGUUGCAUUGUCUUCAACCGAAACUGAAUACAUUGUUGCAACUGAAGCAGUUAAUAAGGGUUUAUGGUUAAAGGGUUUACUUAGUGAAUUAGGACUUAUAGAAAAUCAGGUGGAGCUAUGUUCAGAUAACCAAAGUACUAUCUUUCUAAGUAAAAAUCAUAUUUUGCAUGAUAGAUCCAAGAAUAUAGAUGUAAAGUUCCAUUUUAUUAGAGAUAUCAUUGAUAGGGGUGAUAUUAGAUUGAUCAAAAUACCUACUUAAGGUAAAUCUAGCAGAUGUCGGAACUAAGGUAAUCUCUAUUAGUAGGUUUCUUGAUUCUUUAAGAUUAAUAAAUCUUGAAGAAGACUGAUUUUCAUUAUUUUAUUUUUACAGGUAAUAAGAGCAAAUGAAAUGAAGUUAAGUUUUGAAUCCACAAAACAAGCACAAAAGACAGCAAAGGUGGAGAAUAUAGAAAUGGGAUAUCAUUGAUAGGGGUGAUAUUAGAUUGAUCAAAAUACCUACUUAAGGUAAAUCUAGCAGAUGUCGGAACUAAGGUAAUCUCUAUUAGUAGGUUUCUUGAUUCUUUAAGAUUAAUAAAUCUUGAAGAAGACUGAUUUUCAUUAUUUUAUUUUUACAGGUAAUAAGAGCAAAUGAAAUGAAGUUAAGUUUUGAAUCCACAAAACAAGCACAAAAGACAGCAAAGGUGGAGAAUAUAGAAAUUGGGUUGGUGCCUUUGUGAAGCCCAAAGUUAAUAUGCCCAACCCAGGACCCAGUUAAAUGGCCCAACUGGAAGAAUAAUCUAGAAGCUCAUUUGGUUAAAGGAAAACACGUUUUUUCAGUUGUGAAAAAAUGACUCUCACCUGAUCUUGACACUUGGCAAUUGCUGGACCAUUGGAUCAAAUGAUUUGUUUCUUUCAUAUAAAAGAAACUAAUAAUGCCUAGGGUUAGUGUUGCUCUCAUUUUACGCGGCCUUCAUUUUUGAGUUAAAAUUUCUCUCUGUAUUUUUGGCUCUCUCAUCUUGAAUCUUGUUGAUUCUUUCUUGUUGGUUGAGAGUAUGCAUGAUGUUAUGAACUCUUGUGUGAGUUCUUCGUGUUGUUAAGGGGAUUUGUUGUCGUUGUGACUGGAAUUGUGUGUUCCAUUUGUAGCUCAAAAUUGCUGUAAUUUGGCCGAUGUUUUUUAGUGAAUUCGAGCUUAUUCCUUCAUGGAUGCUCAACGUGGAGUAGGCGAUCUGAUAAAUCGCUAAACCUCGUGGUUUCGGCCAAAAAUCACUUGUGUUCUCUUUACUGUUUUUCAGAUCUACAAAUCUUGUUUUUUAGUCUUGCGAUUUUUGAUGGUUUUGAAACGUUCCUAGGGUUCCUUCAGAUAUAUUCUUUGGGUACUUGUAACGUCAACAUAAAAUUUGAACAAAGAACUAUAGAGUUGAUCGUGACAACCCACCAAGUGAUUUAGUAUGACUAACUUGUAAUUGAUAUUACUUGAUGAUUGAAAGUUCUUUCCCUUUUUGUAGGCUGGUGUAUUGCUUCUGUUCAAUUCCUCAGAUAGAUUAAGUUAUAAGGAAAAAAUGACCCAGUUGAAUAUAUUAGAUGAUGCUGUUGUUAUUAACAAGGAGCCGAACACCAAAACAGUUUCUUCGACUGAUGUUUUUGAAUUCAACUCCAAGUUUACCGAUAAAAUGAGAAGAAUCAAGGUAAUCAUUCACCCCAACCCCCAUUCCCCUGAAAGCCAAGUGGGAGAGAUAAUUAGAUCCUCAGUAAAAAUCUGUUAAUUUCUAACGGAAUGUCUGACUCAAACCUCCAUGUUGAUGCUACAUUAGAUUGUUGUCUUCCAUGUUGGAAAUUUUUUAAAAAAAAGAAUUAACGGAGUUCAAUCGAUUAAAACAAAAAGUGAACUUCAUUUACCAUUUGAAAAAUAAAUAAAGUAUUGUGAAUAAAAUAAAACUUUGAUAUCAAUUGAGUGACUGACUAUGUUUUGAUCCCGAUAGUAAAAUAAAAAGAGGAAUACGAAGUGAAAUAAAUUCUAAUGUUAUUGCAUUGUUUUCAUAUACAUUAUCUGCUUGUAACCGUUGCCAUGGAAGUGCAGAUCUCUCUCCCUCCGAUUGAUGAGAAGAAAAAGAUAAUUGAAGGUGUUGAAAAGGAAAGAUGGUACGCCAUGGAUGCCUAAAUUGUGCUUAUAAUGAAAUAUAGGAAAGUUUUAGGCUAUCAACAGUUGGUUAUGGAGUGUGUAAAAGAAAUUGGGGUACGUGUUCAAGGUUCUUCUAGUUGACUGAUUUAUUUUGUUUUGAUCGAACUAAUGAAAUGUAAAUGUGCACUCUAUAGCC
rnacentral:lncRNA from 1 species